GACGAACGCUGGCGGCGUGCUUAACACAUGCAAGUCGAACGGAAAGGCCCUGCUUUUGUGGGGUGCUCGAGUGGCGAACGGGUGAGUAACACGUGAGUAACCUGCCCUUGACUUUGGGAUAACUUCAGGAAACUGGGGCUAAUACCGGAUAGGAGCUCCUGCUGCAUGGUGGGGGUUGGAAAGUUUCGGCGGUUGGGGAUGGACUCGCGGCUUAUCAGCUUGUUGGUGGGGUAGUGGCUUACCAAGGCUUUGACGGGUAGCCGGCCUGAGAGGGUGACCGGCCACAUUGGGACUGAGAUACGGCCCAGACUCCUACGGGAGGCAGCAGUGGGGAAUAUUGCACAAUGGGCGGAAGCCUGAUGCAGCAACGCCGCGUGCGGGAUGACGGCCUUCGGGUUGUAAACCGCUUUCGCCUGUGACGAAGCGUGAGUGACGGUAAUGGGUAAAGAAGCACCGGCUAACUACGUGCCAGCAGCCGCGGUGAUACGUAGGGUGCGAGCGUUGUCCGGAUUUAUUGGGCGUAAAGGGCUCGUAGGUGGUUGAUCGCGUCGGAAGUGUAAUCUUGGGGCUUAACCCUGAGCGUGCUUUCGAUACGGGUUGACUUGAGGAAGGUAGGGGAGAAUGGAAUUCCUGGUGGAGCGGUGGAAUGCGCAGAUAUCAGGAGGAACACCAGUGGCGAAGGCGGUUCUCUGGGCCUUUCCUGACGCUGAGGAGCGAAAGCGUGGGGAGCGAACAGGCUUAGAUACCCUGGUAGUCCACGCUGUAAACGGUGGGUACUAGGUGUGGGGUCCAUUCCACGGGUUCCGUGCCGUAGCUAACGCUUUAAGUACCCCGCCUGGGGAGUACGGCCGCAAGGCUAAAACUCAAAGGAAUUGACGGGGCCCCGCACAAGCGGCGGAGCAUGCGGAUUAAUUCGAUGCAACGCGUAGAACCUUACCUGGGUUUGACAUGGAUCGGGAGUGCUCAGAGAUGGGUGUGCCUCUUUUGGGGUCGGUUCACAGGUGGUGCAUGGCUGUCGUCAGCUCGUGUCGUGAGAUGUUGGGUUAAGUCCCGCAACGAGCGCAACCCUUGUUCACUGUUGCCAGCACGUUAUGGUGGGGACUCAGUGGAGACCGCCGGGGUCAACUCGGAGGAAGGUGGGGAUGACGUCAAGUCAUCAUGCCCCUUAUGUCCAGGGCUUCACGCAUGCUACAAUGGCUGGUACAGAGAGUGGCGAGCCUGUGAGGGUGAACGAAUCUCGGAAAGCCGGUCUCAGUUCGGAUUGGGGUCUGCCACUCAACCUCAUGAAGUCGGAGUCCCUAAUAAUCGCAAAUCAGCAACGCUGCGGUGAAUACGUUCCCGGG
rnacentral:rRNA from 1 species